GCGCGCAAAUUACCCAAUCCUGACACGGGGAGGUAGUGACAAUAAAUAACAAUACCGGGCGCGUUAGUGUCUGGUAAUUGGAAUGAGUACAAUCUAAAUCCCUUAACGAGGAUCCAUUGGACGGCAAGUCUGGUGCCAAG
rnacentral:rRNA from 1 species